UAUCAAUAAGCGGAGGAAAAGAAACCAACAGGGAUUGCCCUAGUAACGGCGAGUGAAGCGGCAACAGCUCAAAUUUGAAAUCUGGCUCUCUUUGGGGGUCCGAGUUGUAAUUUGCAGAGGAUGCUUUGGCAUUGGCGGCGGUCUAAGUUCCUUGGAACAGGACAUCACAGAGGGUGAGAAUCCCGUACGUGGUCGCCUGCCCUUGCCGUGUAAAGCUCCUUCGACGAGUCGAGUUGUUUGGGAAUGCAGCUCUAAAUGGGAGGUAAAUUUCUUCUAAAGCUAAAUACUGGCCAGAGACCGAUAGCGCACAAGUAGAGUGAUCGAAAGAUGAAAAGUACUUUGGAAAGAGAGUCAAAAAGCACGUGAAAUUGUUGAAAGGGAAGCGCUUGCAGCCAGACUUGCCCGCAGUUGCUCACCUAGGCUUUGGCCUGGGGCACUCUUCUGCGGGCAGGCCAGCAUCAGUUUGGGCGGUUGGAUAAAGGCCUCUGUCACGUAUCUUCCUUCGGGAUGACCUUAUAGGGGAGGCGUAAUGCAACCAGCCCGGACUGAGGUCCGCGCAUCUGCUAGGAUGCUGGCGUAAUGGCUGUAAGCGGCCCGUCUUGAAACACGGACCAAGGAGUCUAACAUCUAUGCGAGUGUUUGGGUGUCAAGCCCGAGCGCGUAAUGAAAGUGAACGGAGGUGGGAACCCUUUGGGUGCACCAUCGACCGAUCCUGAUGUCUUCGGAUGGAUUUGAGUAAGAGCAUAGCUGUUGGGACCCGAAAGAUGGUGAACUAUGCUUGAAUAGGGUGAAGCCAGAGGAAACUCUGGUGGAGGCUCGCAGCGGUUCUGACGUGCAAAUCGAUCGUCAAAUUUGGGCAUAGGGGCGAAAGACUAAUCGAACCAUCUAGUAGCUGGUUCCUGC
rnacentral:rRNA from 1 species